AUUGCUUCCUAAUGGCGAACUCCCUCUAAUCAAAGAUGAGGGAUGAUUUGAGUUUUCAAAGCAUAAGUCAGACAAUUUUAAUCAAUGUUAAACAGCGCCAGUGCAUUGGCGCUCCCUGUCUGAUGAUAUAUUA
rfam:Eucalyptus grandis cultivar BRASTZ1 unplaced genomic scaffold scaffold_5, whole genome shotgun sequence.